rnacentral:rRNA from 1 species
UAGGCAUCUACUUGUUGGGAAAGGUGCUACGGCACCACUGAAAGAGGAGCCCGCGGCGCAUUAGCUAGUUGGUGGGGUAAUGGCCCACCAAGGCGACGAUGCGUAGCCGACCUGAGAGGGUGACCGGCCACACUGGGACUGAGACACGGCCCAGACUCCUACGGGAGGCAGCAGUAGGGAAUCUUCGGCAAUGGGCGAAAGCCUGACCGAGCAACGCCGCGUGAGCGAAGAAGGCCUUCGGGUUGUAAAGCUCAGUCACCCGGGAAGAGCGGGCAGGAGAGGGAAUGCUCCUGUCGAGACGGUACCGGGAGAGGAAGCCCCGGCUAACUACGUG